UCAGAUUUAAGAUGCGCUUUGAGUAAUUUCAAAAAAAAAAGAUGCGCUUUAAGUGUCUUUAUUAGAAAAAACCUUAUCUAACUUAUCCAAAAAAAAAAACCUAACCUUAUCUAGCCGUCCGACCUCUCCGGACGACCACAAUAUUGUCGUGCAUGAUCAGGCAUGCAAUUAUUACCUCUCAUAAUGUCUCGGGAUUCCACAUAUUAGCAUGUACACAGAACAAUAGCCCGGCAAACAGUUGUGCUGCCCGGUGUCAAAACCCCUAAAGUUGACACCAUAUGCUCCUCCUUCUUCUCCAUUUCUUCGAGGAUCAUCGUCAUCAUCAACUUGUAGCCGCCAUCACCGUCGUCCUAUGACAACGGAUCGAAUAACUCGUUGUAAAUAAACUCAUCAUCCGAGUCCAUUGUGUAUCUCUACAAAUGUGCUUAAAACAAGGUAGAACAUAUGUCCGGAAAUUUUGUCUCAUAAUAAUUGAUGAUUAUUCUAUAUUCAUUUUGGUAUUUUUUUGGAUGAUAAAGGUAAAACCCAAGGCACAUUCAAGACUUUUGUAAGAAAAGAUCAAAGCCAUAUUUAGGUCAAGAUCAAGAAAGUCUGAAGUGAUAAUGGGACGAAGUUCAAGAUCACCAAUAUUGAUGUCUCCCUCGAUGAAAAUGGGAUCAACCACAAGCUUUCCACCACCUGUACCCUCGACAAAAUGGAGUUAUGGAGAGGAAACAUUGAUCGUGGUGGUACACUAUGCUCGACGAGUAUAAUAGGCACAUAUGCUUUUGGCCGAUGCCAUCAACACCAUGUGCACCGCCAUCAAUCAACCAUACCUUCUUAUGUUAUGAGUGUGUUUAGGCUCCCUGUUUCUGUUUGCGAUGAGCUAACAUGGUUGAUGAGGUAAUAUUGAUGGGGUGUCGAGAAUGGGAAAAAGAAGAUGGCCUGGAUGAGCUGGGACAGAAUGAUGCUACCAAAGCCUAUGGGAGGCAUGGCAUGCGAGCUUUCAACCAGGCCUUGUUGGCCAAACAAGCCUGGCGCUUGCUGGACUCGCCUGGAAGUUUAUGUGCACGAUUACUGAAGGCUAAAUAUUACCCUUCAGGUCAUAUUCUGGACACUGUUUUUUCAGGCAAUGGCUCCGCGGUGUGGAAAGGUAUAUUGCAUGGUCUUGAGCUUUUCAAAAAUGGUGUUAUUUGGCGGGUGGGGAACGGAGCUGCAAUACGGACAUGGAGAGACCCAUGGAUACCGCGUCCCUCUUCAUUCCGGCCAAUCUCCCCUAAAGGUACUUGUCGUCUAAAUUGUGUUUCUGAUUUCCUAGAUGUCAAUGGUGCUUGGAGAGUUGACCGCCUGAGACAAUUUUUUCGGCCGAUGGACGUUCAAUAUAUUUUGAAAAUCAGAACAUCCCCCCAUCAGCGAACGGACUUUCUCUCUUGGUUUCCGGAGAAAAGUGGAGUUUUCACAGUGAAAAGUGCAUAUAAACUAGCUAUGUAUGAGCACAAUAUCCAGUUCGCAGAUGGUGCUUCAAGUACUAGCCCAGAUGGCAACCGGGGCUUAUGGAACUGUGUGUGGAAAUCUAACGUACCUCAGAAAAUGAAGAUCACAGCAUGGAGGGCUGUGACAGGAACUCUACCCACACAACAAUGCAAGAAAUACAGACAUGUUUCUACUCUCCUCUUCUCGCGAGCAGAGAUGGGAAAGAGAAAAAAGUGAGCGGGGAUGAAAACGUGUGGAGGAGAGACGGGGUGAAGAGAUAAGGCCGGC
rnacentral:lncRNA from 1 species